CCUCCCACAGAUCUCUGUGUCCCACAUCUCCACCUCACGUCAUAACCCAAAAAUACUUCUAACCGAGAGAUCAAGUGUUCUGAAACAAUUUCGGAGCUUACAUGCCCACACGGUCAUGUAGCCUCUGUUUAAACUCCCAUCCGUUAAUUACUGUGGAGGACAACUAACGACGAAACACAGCACAGCAGCCCAAGAGAGCGAAGUAGCUGGUGAAGCUGAAGCAAUCAGCACCUCAGGGGAGAUAUAUUGAGUAAGAGCAGCAUCACCAGUCAUGCAAACUGCUGAUGUCCACACCACACACAAACACAGUCAGACGCACACACGUACACCGCCCACACACACACACACACACACACACACACACACACACACACACACACACACACACACACACACACACACACACACACACACA